rnacentral:rRNA from 1 species
GAUGAACGCUGGCGGCGUGCCUAAUACAUGCAAGUCGAGCGAACGGACGCUGAGCUUGCUUUUCUGAUGUUAGCGGCGGACGGGUGACUAACACGUGGUUAACCUACCUAUAAGACUGGGGUAACUUCGGGAAACCCUAGCUCCUACCGGAUAAUAUUUUUAACCUCAUGGUUCAAAAGUUAAAUCCGUUCUUGCUGUCACUUAUAGCUAGAUCCGCGGUGCAUGAGCUAUUUGGUAGGGUAACGGCUUACCAAGGCAACGAUGGAUAGCCGACCUGGGAGGGGGAAGGGGCACACAGGAAGUGGGACACGGUCCAGAGUCCGAGGGGCGGCAGCGGUAGGGACGCUUGGGAGAUGGGGGGAAGACUGACGGAGCAACGCCGCGUGGGUGAUGAAGGUCUUCGGGUCGUAAGACUCUGUUAUUAGGGAAGACCACAUGUGUAAGUAACUGAGCACAUCUUGACGGUACCUAAACAGAAAGCACCGGCUAACUACGUG